UACAGAGGGUGCGAGCGUUGUCCGGAAUCACUGGGCGUAAAGGGCGCGUAGGUGGUUGGGUAAGCGUGUGGUGAAAGCCCGGGGCUCAACCCCGGGUCGGCCAUGCGAACUGCCCGACUGGAGCACGGUAGAGGCCAAUGGAAUUCCGGGUGUAGCGGUGGAAUGCGUAGAGAUGUGGAGGAACACCGAUGGCGAAGGCAGCCUCCUGGGCUAGUACUGACGCUCAUGCACGAAAGCGUGGGGAGCAAACAGG
rnacentral:rRNA from 1 species